rfam:Triticum aestivum genome assembly, contig: Triticum_aestivum_CS42_TGACv1_scaffold_220677_3B
UUUCUACUCCCUCCGUCCGAAAAUACUUGUCAUCAAAAUGGAUAAAAAUAGAUGUAUCUAAAACUAAAAUAUGUCUAGAUACAUUUCCUUUUAUCCAUUUUGAUGACAAGUAUUUCCGGACGGAGGGAGUAUUUG